AGGGGCUUCCUUUUUUCCAACAAAUCACAAGUUAGAUCAAAAUCUCUCAUACAGUGUCUCUUUAAGACUCUAAGCUUUAAGGCACUGAAUCUUAAAAAGGUGUACUGGGUCACACCAUCGUCAGGCUGGUAGACAAAAGGAGACAGAAAUGCAAUGCUUACCCUCUUAAGCAGCAGUUAGUUCUGCGCCUUUGGCUGCCAGGACAUGCUUGAUAAAUGAUUCUCUUAUGUGGGAAACACUCUCGAGGGCACAUUCAUAUUUUGACAAAUAUCUCCCAAAUUUGGAAGUCAUGCACUAUGGUACUGUGUAAUCAUCAGAAGAGUUAACUGCCCAUCUGUAGUGGUGGCUCUUCGUGAUCUAGUGCAGAGAUGAACUUGGGCUCUAGGGCAGGACAAUUCUUAGCAUUCUGUCCAUGAGGCCUUUCUCUUGUGUCCCAGAAUUCAUAGAUAUGUAUAUAUUUAUCAUUUCAGGACUUUGGAGCCCAAAGACUUCGAGAAGAAGACACCUAUUCACCACACUCUUGCCUAGAAGACAACCAGAAAUAUUUGCCCAGGUACACAGACACCUGCGGAAAGCAGUACAGAACCCUCACCACUUAGCUUUUGCUAACAGCAUGCCUUGCCACUGAGUUUUCCUGAAGACUGUCCCAUCCAACCUGCCUCACUCCACAGGCCUCCCUCCAGAGUGAUUCCACAAAGGCCUCAUUGUGCCUCAAUGGGGGGUCAGCACCACUCCAGAGGUACUCUUGCCCUGGGGAGAGUAGGAGAUACCCACACACACAGCAGUUCAAUGGCAGCCCCAGCAAGGGGCUGCAGGCAGACCUGACUGCCUGCCCCACCCACCAACAGAAACCUCCUGGGGGUGGGGGGGGUGGGGGUCAGCACAAAGAGAACCCAGUCAUUCAGGGUCACUGUAACCACCACAGAAGACUGGGGAUAGACAUCUCUUACUCCUGACCUUGCCCACCAAUGAAAGCCCCUUGGGGACAACAGAGGGAGAGAACUCUGUAGUUUGGUGCAACCAUGGUUCCAGCAAGUGGGCUGAAGGCAAGUACUGGGUCUGACCUAAUUCAAGUCCAGAGUGGCCCCAGACUGGUACCUUUACAGCACAGGAACCAAACCCUGAUGACAACAGGCAAAGAGGGCCAGGGAAACCAACUGGACUAAAGGCAAAUGUGGCUCAAUGACAGUAGUACGGUACAUGCAACAUACAUAGGAGAUACCCCUGAAGCACCAGGGUCCACUGAGGAGGGAACAUUGCCCUAUAGAGCAUUUCAGGAUCACUUCAUAAGGCCACUCAUUUCAAGAUCAGGAGACCUAGCUGACUUUAAUACACAGAAGCAAAAUUAGGAAUUAUGCCCCAAAUGAAACAACAGGACCAAAAAGAGAAUGGAAUUGUCAUAGAGAUACUCACUAGACUUAAGAUUGAAAGAUCCUCAUGUGACCUUCAGCAAAGAAAGAAAAAAGAA